rnacentral:misc_RNA from 1 species
UCUCAUCUGCACCGCAUCCAAA